GCUGGGCGGAGGCAGUCUACCUGCAUGGCUCAGCCACGUUCUAAGCAGGAACAUCAACUCGAUCUGCUGCUUUUAACCACCCAGCUGGCUUGCAGGUCUGAGGGGAGGGGACAGGAUGGGAAGCAAGAAGAAAGACUCACAGUGGACAUGGGGGAAGCGACAGUGCCAAACUUCUCCCCUUGGGGAGCAGCGUGGGAGGGGCGACAGAGACGGAGCGUAAACAAACAUUUCCUUGUCUGAUGUUGGUGUUUGCAGCCCUCGUCUUACACGUGUGUUUGCGGCCUCUCUCCUCUCAGAGUGGCUCUCCGUGUUCUUUGAGGACCAUCCCCAUAAUGUCUUUAACAGCCACCGCCUCCUGAUCCCCUUCAGCACCUACUAUGGGACCACUGACCAAAGACACCUUGGUAUGUGACAGGCUGUCAAUUCCAAUGAAAUCUUUGAAGAUGGUAACAGGUACUUUAUUAAGCACUUGCUGUGUACCUGGCUCUGUUCCAAGCUGCUAGGUACUCGGGUACUUAGGUCCUUGGGUUUUCAACUACCUCAUGGAGUGACAAGCAAGGGAUAUAAGUUGCCCAAAGUCACCCAGUAAAUGGUGGGGCCGGGGUUUGAAGUCAGGUGGUCAGAUUCUGGAACCCAUCCUCUCAAUCACUAGCCUACACGUCACUCUAGAUUGAUUUGUCUUUGGUGUAAGGUCUCUUUUUUAACCUAGUGGGAGAAACUGAGGCAGGAAAGAAACCCAAAUCUCACCCAGGAUCAACGAAAGCCUGAGUGCCCAAGACUUUAUUUCAAAUGAACUUGAAGCAAAUUCCCCAGUCUGUUUUAUGUAGGUACCUAAUGCUACCUGUCAAGAGACCUUUCCAUUCCAAGCCUAUCUUUAUUUUUCUAAGUGUCCAAGAUUCGGGGAUAACAGUGAACAUUUGAGGGGAUACAAGAACAUACUCAGAAAAAAGCGUUUAGGAAGCUUUCUUUUCUCAUUACAAAUGAAUAAAGAAAAAAAAAAACCUUUGUCCCUUGAGGAGAUCAGCUGUAAUUUUUACAAUUUAAAUGCAUUACAGGCUGGACAGAACUAAGACACAGUAAUAGUAGCAAAGAGGUGGCUGAUAGUUUCAGCUUUCCACCUGCAGAGCUCUUUGGGAUUUGUCAAGUUCAAUCACAACCACAUUUCCAUUUUUCUAGAAACCUCUUGAAACAGCUCAUGGAAGCAAGUAUCGUGACCACAGAUGGGGAUAGUGUGGCUCAGAAAGGUGAAGGAAUGAGCCCAAGGUCCCAGAGUCCCAUGUACCCAAGCAGCAGCAUGGUUGGGUGGCAAAUGGUUCAUUCUGUACAACAGGCUGGUUAGCAAACAUCCUGGGGCCCAGGAGAAGCACUGCAAUAUGGAGACAAGUCAGAUAUGCCUCUCUCCCUCUGGUGAUAGAGGCUCUGUGCUAGGCUCACUUCCGUGUCUCCCGGUGCCCCAGCCUGGUGCCUCUGAGUCCUGGUAGCCCCUGGUAGCCAAGGCCCUAGGCAGCUGCAGCACUAGCCGUCCCUUUGAGAGCUCUCCAAACUAGUGCCCAGGUUCCUGCUAAGUGUCUGCCCCAGGCUCAUGAAGCCCGAAGUCUAAACAGGUUCCCUUCAAAUCCAAAAAAUUAAGCUGGACCCCUCUAUCAUUCCUCACACGAAAAUAAAUUCUAGACGGAUUAAUGCUCAAGUUAAAAAAUUAGAGCCAUAAAAAGGAUGGGGAGAAAAAAAAAUUGGUCAUUAAAAAUAUAUAUAAUCAUGGAGAGGAAAAGGCAAACACAAAACCCAAAGCCAUAAAGAAAAGAUUAAUAUAUCUAACUACAUAGAAAUUAAAAUCUCCUAUAUGGUGAAAAAAAUUACAAAUGCAAACAAUAACCCUGAAAAAUAUUGGUAACACAUUUCUUCAGUAUUCAAAGAGCUUAUAUAUCUCUAUAAAAAAGACAAAGCCAAAACACAAAAUGUACAAAGGACAUGAAAACCAGUUCAUAAAAGAAAUGUAAGUGGCCAGUAAACACAUGGGGAAAAAAUGCGCUUCUAAUGCAUGUGAAUUAAAAUGAGCCAGUUUCUCAGCAGUCAGAUUGGCAAAGAUUAGACGGGUUGGUGAUGCCCAGGAUGGGUGAGGACUUGGGUCAGUGAGCACUUUCAAGCAUUCCUGGGAAGGCCAAAGCGGCACAGCGAUCUAGGAGGCCAGUCUAGUGCUAUCUAGUUAAAUGUUAAAGGAUGCAUACCUGGGGACUUCUGGUCAUUCAUUCUACAGAGACGUUUGCCCAAGCACUCCACAGUGUACACACAAGGAGGCUUCACCUGCAGGAGCAUUUGUAGGAGGUAAGACACUACCAAGUAUACGCUCCGGCUGCAUAAGAGAAGAAAGUCUGUAUGUGCUGAUCUGGAAAGAUCUCUGGUGAACGCAAACCAAACAACAAACAAAACCAAGCGAUACCCAGAACGUCAUCAGACUAGCCCUGACUACCAGUGGCAUCUCCUCUCCUGCCUUAUUCCAGAUCCAGCCCAAGGUCAGGGAUAACGCACUUACUGAAUGAAUGACCUUGGGUACGUUACUCAACCUCUUUGUGCCUCAGUUUCCUCCCCAGAGAAUCGAGACUGUGACAAUGCCCUGUUAUAACGACCAAUGGAACAAUGCCCAGAAAGCAUGUAGAAGAAUUUAUGUUACUGCACUAUCUAAAUACUGGGCUUUUUAAAAGUAUAAUCACGAAGUAAAAGAGCUAGAAGUAGAACAGAGCAGAUAGCAUGCUUUCAUUCUUCAGGGAGAAGAGAAAUAACAUGCCCCAGUAUCCGUCUGCACGUGCAUCAAUGAUCUCCUCCCAAACACAAGGAAAUGGUGACUUUGUAACAUCACAGAGAGGCUGGGGGCAGCAGUGGGAGAGAGAAAAGCCCUUCUGAAUGCUGAACCAUUUUAUAUUUACAUAAAAAUCACAAAAUUUCAGGAAAGCUGUGCAAGAAAUGGUUACCGGUAGUUACACCUGGGAGCGAGGAGUUAGAAGACUUUGACUUUCAUUCCUUUUCUCAAGCCACUUAAUUUUUUUCUUACGCUCACAUGCCUUUGUGAGCUUUAUAGCAAAAAACAGAAAAAGGCUACGUGAGCUACAAAAGAUAAGGAAAAGAAAAAGGCUCCUUCCCACCUCCCAUGCGAGACUCGAGCAGCCGCCAUACGGGAGGCCAGGCCAGAAGCAGGGUGGGCAGCACCUGAAUGGGAUAAGCAGCCGUGGUUCUGGCUACAGUCCGGCACUGGGCAUUUCUCUGAUCCAUCUCCCAUCGGUAAUGGAAUCAACAGCCACUUAAAAAUUUCUGCUGGAGGCGCCUGGGUGGCUCAGUGGGUUAAGCCGCUGCCUUCGGCUCAGGUCAUGAUCUCGGGGUCCCGGGAUCGAGUCCCCUGCUUCCUCCUCUCUCUCUCUGCCUGCCUCUCUGCCUACUUGUGAUCUCUGCCUGUCAAAUAAAUAAAUAAAUAAAUCUUAAAAAAAAAAAAAAACCUCCGCUGGUUUCCACUGCCUACAGGAAAAAAGUCCAAACUCCAUAACACAGCCUGCUAAGUCCUCUGCAGUCUGUCCCCUCCCACCCCUGCAGCCUCAACCUCUAUGUCGGGGUCACACCAAGCAGCGUGCCACUGGGGGAAUGGGGGGGACGUGGUGUGGGGAGGAGACAGGUGGACCUGGGGGAAAAUCUCAUUUCGCCAUUUGUUAGCCUUGACCUUGGCCAAGCAAUGCAGCCUCUGAGCAAGGCUCAGAGCAAGGAUGAUACCACUUAGUCCUUGC
ensembl:lincRNA